AGGCUGAGGUGGAAGGAUCACUUGAGCCCAGGAGGUUAAGGCUGCAGUGAGUCAUGAUUGCACCACUGCACUCCAGCCUGGGCAACAGAGCGAGACCCUGCCUCAAAAAACAAAACAAACAGAUACCCCAAAAGUUAGCUGCAGUGGAUGACCUAGGGCACGUAAACAGGCUCUUCUCUUCUUGGCAAAUCUUUUCUCCCUUUCCAGGACUAAAGGAGGAAAAUCUGACAGGGUCGUGUCUACAGAAAAGGUGAUGAUAGGACAUCCCAGAGCCAGAAGGGGCAGCCUCUGGUUAAGCAAAGACUCUGAGCAUGAAUGAUUUAACAAAUAGCAAUCAUAUGUAUAUGACUAACUGGUUUGGUCAUUGUAUGUAGUGUGAUCCACAAAUACCUAACAUGUCAACUCAGUUUUAGGGUGGUUGUUCGAAUUGAAGCUUUAAUUCUUGAGCAGUCUAAG
rnacentral:lncRNA from 1 species